rnacentral:lncRNA from 1 species
UUAGGGAUAAAAAUAAUGUUUGUCCUAAAAGAUAUUUAGAAGUUAGGACGCAUGACAUGAAGGUUGGCUUGGUGUAGGUUGUGUUAUAAGUUGGGAUUAGGACAAGUCUAGUGAAACUGAAAAUAGUGAAUAGUACACAAAAUCAAAAACAGCCACACUUGUGAGGUGAGCAACAAAACAAACACACUUUCCUUCCACCAUUUCAUUUACAAAGUAACUAACUCAUCACAAACAAAUUCAACUAACUUCAAUUCCAUUUCUUCAUCCAAUCAAUUCAAUCAAUGGUUUCUUCUGUUUCUGCUUCUCACCUCUGUAUUUCAACAAUCAUACUACAAAGAAUCACCUCUGUAUUCCAAAAAUCUUAU